rnacentral:rRNA from 1 species
UUAGCGGCGCGACGGGUGAGUAACACGUGGGUAACCUGCCCAUAAGACUGGGAUAACUCCGGGAAACCGGGGCUAAUACCGGAUAACAUUUUGAACCGCAUGGUUCGAAAUUGAAAGGCGGCUUCGGCUGUCACUUAUGGAUGGACCCGCGUCGCAUUAGCUAGUUGGUGAGGUAACGGCUCACCAAGGCAACGAUGCGUAGCCGACCUGAGAGGGUGAUCGGCCACACUGGGACUGAGACACGGCCCAGACUCCUACGGGAGGCAGCAGUAGGGAAUCUUCCGCAAUGGACGAAAGUCUGACGGAGCAACGCCGCGUGAGUGAUGAAGGCUUUCGGGUCGUAAAACUCUGUUGUUAGGGAAGAACAAGUGCUAGUUGAAUAAGCUGGCACCUUGACGGUACCUAACCAGAAAGCCACGGCUAACUACGUGCCAGCAGCCGCGGUAAUACGUAGGUGGCAAGCGUUAUCCGGAAUUAUUGGGCGUAAAGCGCGCGCAGGUGGUUUCUUAAGUCUGAUGUGAAAGCCCACGGCUCAACCGUGGAGGGUCAUUGGAAACUGGGAGACUUGAGUGCAGAAGAGGAAAGUGGAAUUCCAUGUGUAGCGGUGAAAUGCGUAGAGAUAUGGAGGAACACCAGUGGCGAAGGCGACUUUCUGGUCUGUAACUGACACUGAAGCGCGAAAGCGUGGGGGAGCAAACAGGAUUAGAUAC